UUAUGAAUUUAUGUUCCUUUCCCAAGUAACAUAAAUUGAAUUGGGUCUCUAGACCUGCCUUCUCUGAUGCCAUUUGGCUUUGAUUUGGAGGCAUGGUUCCGCAGCAAAGGG